rnacentral:ncRNA from 2 species
ACAUACUCGUUGGGGUGCCCCGGGUGACCGGGGCUGAGAGGCGGCAGCCAACCCAUCGAACCUGAUCCGGUUAAUACCGGCGGAGGGAACGGGUAGCUUGAUCUU